rnacentral:rRNA from 1 species
AUUGAACGCUGGCGGCAGGCCUAACACAUGCAAGUCGAGCGAGCGGCGGACGGGUGAGUAAUGUAUGGGGACUGCCCGAUAGAGGGGGUUAACUACUGGAAACGGUAGCUAAUACCGCUUACUAUCGGAUAACCCAUAUGGGAUUAGCUAGUAGGUGGGGUAAUGGCUAACCUAGGCGACGAUCCCUAGCUGGUCUGAGAGGAUGAUCAGCGACACUGGGACUGAGAAACGGCCCGGACUCCUACGGAGGCAGCAGUGGGGAAUAUUGCACAAUGGGCGCAAGCCUGAUGCAGCCAUGCCGGGUGUAUGAGGAAGGCCCUAGGGUUGUAAAGUACUUUCAGUCGGGAGGCGUUACCGACAGAAGAAGCACCGGCUAACUCCGUGCCAGCAGCCGCGGUAAUAC